UGGCUAAACGACUCUCGGCAACGGAAAUCUCGGCUCUCGCAUCGAUGAAGAACGGAGCGAAAAGCGAAACUUGGUUUUAAUUUCAAAAACCCGUUAACCAACGAAUCUUUUAACCCAAAUUUCCCCCCAAACCAUUAGGCCCAGGGCACCCCUUCCUGGGCGUCAAACG
rnacentral:rRNA from 1 species